UUUAUGGAGAGUUUGAUCCUGGCUCAGGAUGAACGCUGGCGGCGUGCCUAAUACAUGCAAGUCGAGCGAACGGACGAGAAGCUUGCUUCUCUGAUGUUAGCGGCGGACGGGUGAGUAACACGUGGAUAACCUACCUAUAAGACUGGGAUAACUUCGGGAAACCGGAGCUAAUACCGGAUAAUAUUUUGAACCGCAUGGUUCAAAAGUGAAAGACGGUCUUGCUGUCACUUAUAGAUGGAUCCGCGCUGCAUUAGCUAGUUGGUAAGGUAACGGCUUACCAAGGCAACGAUGCAUAGCCGACCUGAGAGGGUGAU
rnacentral:rRNA from 1 species